AAGUCUAACGCAGGCAUCUUCGGAUGCCUGAGUGGCGAACGGCUGAGGAACACGUACGAACCUGCCCGCUUGUGGGGAAUAACUCACCGAAAGGUGAGCUAAUACCGCGUACGCUUGAUCAUCCGAUCAAGGAAAGCCUUUUGGCGCAGGCGGAGGGGCGUGCGGCCCAUCAGGUCGUUGGUGGGGUAACGGCCUACCAAGCCUGUGACGGGUAGCUGGUCUGUGAGGACGAUCAGCCAGACUGGGACUGCGAAACGGCCCAGACACCUACGGGUGGCAGCAGCGAGGAAUCUUCCACAAUGGGCGCAAGCCCGAUGGAGCAACGCCGCGUGGAGGACGACGGCCUUCGGGUUGUAAACUCCUUUCGGGGGGGAUGAGAUAGACAGUACCCCCAGAAGCAGCCCCGGCUAACUCUGUGCCAGCAGCCGCGGUAAUACAGAGGGGGCAAGCGUUGUCCGGAUUUACUGGGCGUACAGCGCGCGCAGGCGGAGCUCGACGUGCCGUGUGACAGCCCACCGCUCACCGGUGGAAGGCCACGGUACACGAGAGCUCUGGAGGCAGGGAGAGGGAUGUGGAAUGCCUGGUGGAGCGGUGAAAUGCGUAGAGAUCAGGCGGAACACCAGCGGCGAAGGCGGCAUCCUGGCCCUGGCCUGACGCUGAGGCGCGAGAGCGUGGGGAGCGAACUGGAUUAGAUACCCAGGUAGUCCACGCCGUAAACGAUGUGUACCCGGCGCUGGGGAGUGAUUGCGCUCCUCGGUGCCUGCGCUUACGCAGUGAGUACACCGCCUGGGGACUACGGCCGCAAGGCUAAAACUCAAAGGAAUUGACGGGGGCCCGCACAAGCAGCGGAACGUGUGGUUUAAUUCGACGCAACACGAAGAACCUUACCUAGGCUUGACAUGAUGCUGCAAGGAGUGGAGACACUCUCGCCUUCGAGGGUGCAUCACCGGUGCUGCAUGGCUGUCGUCAGCUCGUGUCGUGAGAUGUUGGGUUAAGUCCCGCAACGAGCGCAACCCUUGCCCCAUGUUACAGGUGUCAUGGGGGACUGCCGGUGGGUUCCACCGGAGGAAGGCGGGGAUGAUGUCAAGUCCGCAUGGCCCCUACGCCUAGGGCGACACACACGCUACAAUGGUCGGCGGAAUGCGCGGCGACCGGGUAACCGGGAGCUAAUCGCGAAGGUCGGUCUCAGUGCAGAUUGAGGGCUGCAACUUGCCCUCAUGAAGGCGGAGUUGCUAGUAACCGCGUGUCAGCAGAGCGCGGUGAAUACGUACCCGGGCCUUGUACACACCGCCCGGCACGUCAUGGGAGUCGGGAACACCUGAAGUCCGUGGGCCGACCGGCUGAGAGGCUGGAGGCAGCGGCCGAGGGU
rnacentral:rRNA from 1 species